CUUGAAGUUGCUGCCAUUUUGUUGUCCCAUUAACCCGAGCAUUUUGAGCAUCAUUUACCCGUUCACAACUCAAGCCAUCAGCAUGAAGGGGUAUUAUCAAGGGUGAACCAUCCGGUUUCAUUGGAACAUAUUUAUGACAGUUGUGAAUAUUGAUGAGGAAUAUGCCACAAAAUCUUAUCCUCCAUUUCAUUAAAAAAUGGUAUCCUUUUGCAAAGUAUUCUUUCAACAAGCACUGUCAUCUGUGACCUUAAGUCCACUUCAUCCAAUUCACAGGGAAGCAAUUUGAACAGAGGAAUAUUCAGAAUAUCAUCUGGAGAGGGUUGUUCAUCACUGAGGUGAAGAGUGUUGAUGCGAUCUAAGGCUGCAUAUGCUUGCACCAUAUUGAACAUCUUAUUCUUUUUGUCCCUUGUCUGGUGCCUGACUGUAGUUUUUUGAUUAACGUUAUCAAAGCAGACAGAAAAACAUGGUUUUCCUGGAAUAAAGGCAGGUAUCAGUGGAAAGAACAUUCAUAGAAAGUCUGCUUCACAAAUGUUAUUUGUGUGUUUCAAUAAUUAUAAAAUAUUCAGACUUUAAACAAAACAUUACCUCGAGGUUCUGAUACGUUGUCAGAAGACGUGCUUAACCUACUACUUGGGUCAUCAGAAUCACUAGUUAAUGAUGGCCUCCUAAGUAGUGGAAUGACAGGUUGACGCAUAGGUGACUGAGAAUGUCGCACAGGUGAUUGAGCAGGUGUGUCCACUGACAUUGGUGUUGAGCUCUCUGCAUAUGGAAUAGUGUCUGCUGUGGAAAUAUCUGAUGGUAGGAGUAAAUGAUCCGUGAUUGAACUUCGCCAUUCAAAGACUGUAGAAUCAAAAUUUCUCCUGAUCCUGUCUACUGCAUUCAUAGUACCAUGAAUACCAACACACAGUCCCAAAUGAUUGAAUCGGCUAAACAACUAAAAUGACAAAACACAUGUUUUUGAACAUUGAAAUGAAUUCAGUUACUGAUAAUAAUUAACAUAUUAAUUUCCAUAUACAUGCUUCUCCUAAUGAAAUAUAUUGCAACUUUAUUAUUUAAUUUAAUUUCUAUUUUACCUGACGUUUACAACUUGCAAGCCACAUUUGUAGGGCAUUUAACUCCUGCAAGUUUGCCAUUUUCUUCGGUUUUGUUUGGUAUGCCAGAAUGGACAUGACUGUGCCUAUGGUAGGUGCAGCUGAAAUAUGGGGUCUACCUCGUAGUGUCAUUGUCUCCAUUGUUCCUUUUGAUGUCAGAGCGCCAAGUAAACAAGCAGUGAGUAGAGGACAAUGCACCUUCAUCUCAUCAAGGAAAUCAUUCCAUCUAAACUCUUUCCACUGUUGAAUUCCUUUAUGUGCCCCAAACUUUGAAUUACUUUGUUUCAAGAAAAUUCCCAUCUCAUCCUGAACAGCCUCUUUAGUGAGGGAGUAGAUAGCUUUCAGGGCUCCAGAUCUUGUGCUCAUUAGCAGUUUUAAUCCCCUCCUAUACUGUCGCAGUCUGAGAUAAGUCAAUGCCCUAUUGACAUCUACCUCUGCCUUUGUUAGCUAAAAAACAUUGAUAUUCUAUAUUAGGAGAUUGAUCACUGAACAUUAUCUUCACCUUUUAUUAUGUCAGUAUGUUAAAUGAACAAAAUGUGUUUUUGAAACAGUAUCAUAUUUUGUACUUAUCUGAACAUUUAACUUAGAUGCAUGACAUUAUGUUUCAAAACAAGCAUAUACUGUUUACCUUUUUUCUUUUAAUCUGUGGGUAUUGUGUCUGAGACAUGCUCUCACCACUUCCUGAUGGCACCUCUUGUGACUAUGUAACAUAGAAAUAAAUGUUUGUUUUCAUA